AUGCAUCAAUUGACAGACCUAAAAGUUGAACACUAACUUUGCAGGUCAUUCACAGAUGCAAGAUCAAGUUUCUUUGCGCUUUCUGCCUGCUUUUCUGGCAGGUCAGAUUGAAUAAAAGAAUACAAUA